rnacentral:rRNA from 1 species
AUCUAUGGCUAUACCACCCUGAAUGCACCCAAUCUCAUCUAAUCUAGGAAUCUUAGCAGGGUUGGGCCUGGUUAGUACUUGAUUGGGAGAGAAAUACAUCACUCGAUUCAGGUUUUCCAAUGAUC